UGAAGAGUCGGGAAAAGUGCACCAGCAAUUUCAAAAGCUUCUGACUGAGUUAAAUAAGCCCACUGAUGCCUACAAGCUGAGCCUUGCCAACAGGCUCUAUGGAAAUAAGAAGUUUCCGUUUUUUCAGGAAUACUUGGAUAAUGUUAAGAAAUUCUACCUAGCCAGUGUGGAAUCUGCUGAUUUUGUAAAUGCUGCAGAAGAAACCCGAAAGAUGAUUAAUUCCUGGGUGGAAAGCCAAACGAAUG